CAGAGCCUAGAUAUUAUAAACCACAACAAACAACUAAAUGGUGCUGCUCUCUUUGUGAUAUACGCUCUACAGUUGAGCUCAGUCUGGAUCUCUUGAUCUUCUCAACCCAUUCUGUUGCAGAAACAGCUGUCACGACCUUUCCAAAAAUCACACAGGACCAGCAUCCUUCAUCCUUGCAAUCCAUCGGUGAAGAUCCCAACAAGCUGAACUCUCUGGCAUCAGUACCCUGUGUCCUUGUGGGCUGCUUUGAAAAGCCUCACUGGCUCACGUAUCCACGAGGUGUGGAUGGACGUAUGGCUCCCUAAGCCAUUACGCAUACUUACAGACCCAACAAGGAGGAGGAAAAGCUCUGAAGAACUUCAGUUUCUGAAGUUUAAACUGCCAAGAAAGAGUGAUCAUUUUCCGCUUGAUUUGCUUCUGUCUUCUGCUCAAAGAUGCACUGUCUUCUCCUGCUGCCCCAAAGAAUAUCGAUCAUCAUCCAAAGCCUGA
rnacentral:lncRNA from 1 species